CAGCUCUCUUAGACCCCAUGUAAGGGCUGACUGACACUAGGGAAGGAUCUCUUUCUGAGCAUCUUUCCCUGUCAAAUUUUUCCUGUGAAAUCAGAUCUUUGGAGACAGAAACAGGAGGGAAAUAUGUUGGAAAUUGGAAGAAGCUUACAAAAGACUCACAGUAGUCACUGCUGGAAAACAUCUCAGCAAAACAGAUGGAACCUGAAAUCAAUCAGACAAAUUGGAUCAGAUGUCUGAAGGACAAGCCAACCAAACUUCUUUGCAAGAUUGUUUGCUCUUGCAACUCUCUGUGGAAGGUUGUAUGCUUCAGUGCUUUGUACUGCUCAGAAACUUUCUGCUUUUCUGCCAGUGAGCCCUCUGUUCAGGGGCAAUUUACAUCUAGCUUCAUUGUGCUGUUUAUUAUCUUCAUGUAUUCAUAACCACAGCCCCAGCAGGCAUUUGUUUUUCAGCCUAUAAAGCCUAGCAAAAGUAAUCUUGUGUGCGUGUGGUUCUAAAGAAGUGCCUUGUUUAUUCUGGUGACAAUAAAACACAAACCAAAGCUACAGAUCUGGAGAAAAUGUUGCUCUGGUCUCACAUUAUGAACAGUGCAGGAGCUAAGAUGAAAACGUACAAAUGCAGCUGCUGUUUGCCCUGACUGCAGGCAGCAAUCAGCUCUUGGUAUUCCUGCUCACCUGGUGGGACAACCUCCUCUGAGUUCCAUCUUCUUCCUUGUAUUACGACUUAGGCCCUGUGCCUUCCUUCUGGGCAAAGUAGCAUGAAAUCAGUUUGCUUUCAAAGCAGAUGUGCUGCUUUUACACUCCCCAUAGCAAGACUGUGAGCCUGACUUCAUUGUUAUCUGCUCAGCCACAAAAAACAGCUCUGCUCAACCCAAGACUGAGCAACACAACUGCUUUUUCCCCACAGGCCUUUGGGGAGAUUCUUGCAAGCUCCAAUAGGUAAGACAUUAAGCAGUGCUGGCUCCAGGCCUAGGAGAGGCUGUCAGGCAAUUUUCUUUGUGUCAGCAUUGCUUACUAUACUGAAGCAAGGAGUAGCGUGCCACUCUCCUUCCCUGCAAGCUGCGAUUAGCAGGGACACAAAGCAGCUCUGACCGGCUGGCACUGAGAGUCUCCUUGACCCAGGAGCACACCAACAGACUGGCACAGCUCCUGCCAGCUGUUGCCCCAGCAGUGCCUGGCCCUGCCUCCGGGUACUGCAGGAGCAGGCCUCAAGAGGACAACGCGGCAGCUGAGUCCCUUGCCGUCUCAC